rnacentral:tmRNA from 1 species
GGGGGCGACUGGCUUCGACGGGUGUGAAGAAAGAAUUGCUGCGUGCCCAGGUCCAAGGUUCCUGGUAAAACCGCUUGGAAACUGUUAUUUGCCAACACUGAACUGGCAAUGGCUGCCUAAGUUGAGCUAAGCUCGCUUGGAGCACCUGCGACGGAUGCAGCUCUCCUGGGGCGUCGCCGUCGUAUCGCAAAUCCGGGAUAGCUGCCUCGGCCUCCCCCGACCGAAGCGGCGAGAUUCAGGGGGUAGUUCCCGGACCGGUUGGCCCGUGCACCGCUCGGGAAGACAUCAAGCGCGAGCCUACGCACGUAGACGCAGAUCUGGAUCCACGUUCGGACGAGGGUUCGAUUCCCUCCGCCUCCACUU